AACGCACCUUGCGCCCUGUGGUAUUCCGCAGGGCAUGCCCGUUUGAGUAUCAUUAAAUCAUCAACUUCAAAAACUUUGUGUUUUUCGAAGCUUGGUCUUGAGGGUUUUUGCAGGCUUCUUGUGAGUCGGCUCCCUUUAAAUCCAUUAGCGAGACUUCCCUGUGCUGAACCGUCUCUUGACGUGAUAGUCUAUCUGCGUCGACUUUGGUUCUCGUUGGGCUUGCUUCUAACCGUCCCACACUUGUGGACAAUAGGAUUUGAGUGCAUAUAUGCGCCCUUUUCCAAACCUUUCUUGAUCUCAAAUCGGGUAGGACUACCCGCUGAACUUAA
rnacentral:misc_RNA from 1 species